AGGUUAAGUAUAACGGAGCCGAAGGGAAACCGAGUCUGAAUAGGGCGAAUUAGUCGUUGGUUGUAGACGCGAAACCUGGUGAUCUAUGCCUGUCCAAGAUGAAGCUGUGGUAAGACACAGUGGAGGUCUGAACCCACCGUCGUUGAAAAGCCGGGGGAUGAGGUAGGUAUAGGGGUGAAAAGCCAAUCGAACCAGGAGAUAGCUCGUUCUCUCCGAAAUGCAUUUAGGUGCAGCCUUGAUUGUUUAAAUAUGGGGGUAGAGCACUGAAUGGUCUAGCGGGCAUAUUGCUUAGCGAAAUCAAUCAAACUCCGAAUACCAUAUUUCAAGAGAUCAGGAGUGAGACUAUGGGUACUAAGAUCCAUGGUCAAAAGGGAAACAGCCCAGACCACCAACUAAGGUCCCAAAUUAUAUCUAAGUGGGAAAGGAGGUGGAGAUUCUGAAACAACCAGGAUGUUGGCUUAGAAGCAGCCAUACAUUUAAAGAGUGCGUAAUAGCUCACUGGUCGAGAGUCUCUGCGCCGACAAUGUAACGGGGCUAAGAUAUAAACCGAAGUUGUGGAGUAUACACUAUGUGUAGACUGGUAGGAGAGCGUUCCGUAGGCCGUUGAAGGAUAAGGGGUGACCCAAUCUGGAGGUAUCGGAAGUGAGAAUGCAGGAAUGAGUAGCGAGAAAGAGGGUGAGAAUCCCUCUCGCCGGAAAACCAAGGUUUCCAGAGUAAAGCUUGUCUUCUCUGGGUAAGCCGGGACCUAAGCCGAGGCUAGAUUGCGUAGGCGAAUGGAAAGCAGUUUAAUAUUACUGCGCCACUAUAAUUUGUUUGAGAGAUGGAGGGACGCAGAAGGGUAUGUGCGCAGACUGUUGGAUAUGUCUGUGUAAGCAUGUAGGAUGGAACCGCAGGAAAAUCCACGGUUUUAGAUCUGAGGUGUUAUGCGGAGUGUUUGUAAUGAACACGAAGGUACAAAUCCCACGCUGCCGAGAAAAGCUUCUAUUGAGAAUUAAAGUGCCCGUACCGUAAACCGACACAGGUGGUUAGGAUGAGAAAUCUAAGGCGUACAGGCUAACUCUCGCUAAGGAACUCUGCAAAAUGGCCCCGUAACUUCGGGAGAAGGGGUGCCAUUAAAGGUAAUAGAAACACGCGUUCUAAAGCUUUUGAUGGCCGCAGUGAAGAGAUUCGAGCAACUGUUUAGCAAAAACACAGGUCUAUGCUAAGCUGAAAGGCGAUGUAUAUGGGCUGACACCUGCCCAGUGCCGGAAGGUUAAGAGGAGGGUUUAGCGACUCAAAUUGAAGCCCCGGUGAACGGCGGCCGUAACUAUAACGGUCCUAAGGUAGCGAAAUUCCUUGUCGGGUAAGUUCCG
rnacentral:rRNA from 1 species